UGGGAGGAGUCAUUUGGUGGGUUUUGAGUGAAAUCCAAUCUCUACAACUAUGCAAUACACCAACCACUCCAUUUUAGAACGAACUUCGUACGAACCUGAAUUGUCGAAUUUGAUGGACCAAUCGAUAUCGGAUUCAGUCCAAAACUUGGGGAACAACAUAAUACGGUGGGAGGAGUCAUUUGGUGGGUUUUGAGUGAAAUCCAAUCUCUACAACUGUGCAAUACACCAAC
rnacentral:lncRNA from 1 species